UCUAAAUUAGCCUAAAAACUCCAGUAGAUAACAAAUUAGCCAAAAAUGUUAGCAUGUUGCUAAAAUAUUAGCUUAUCUCCAAAUUUUUGAAAAUUACUAUUUUAUUUUUCUUCAGUCAGAGAGUCACCAUGGAUGGACAGAAGAGCCACAUGUGGCUCUGGAGCCGCUGCUUGCAGACCCCUGAAAUAGUGUCAUCUUAAGUAUUUUUAAUCGCUUUUAGUAACACAAACUACCUAUUUUUAUUGAGACUGCACAAAAAGUUGCUUUGUAAGCUGCUUUCUUUCAUUUUUGUACUUAAAACUUCAAUAUAAACCAGACUUUAAUGGUAUGGACAGUGUUUGCUAACCUUCCUGGUACCUUCAGGAGGCAAUCUAAAAAGGUGGGAUGAAAGUCGUACAUCAAACCCCUCAAGUUGCUGAGGCAGCAUUGAUAAACAAGCUUUAAUUUCCUGGAGUAACACAAUCAAGGGUGUGCAACGUUUUGGGUUUUACAAGAGCUGUAAAUUACAAAGUGCCGCCACGCUCGGUCUGAUCAAAGCAGGGGGACAGCGAGUGUGUGGGCACACGGAUGAUAUACCGUCACAGCAGAACAAAAGACAGACCUGAAGUAGGCAAAAGAUGGAGAUAUUUUCUAAGAGAGGUUAUCUGCAAGAUUGUGCUACAGCGAAGCCCACGCGCACACACCCCCACAUGCGCAACAUCUUUAAAAAAACAAAAGGCCAAGACUGAAACAAUGCUGCAAUCUGUGAUGCAACAACAAGUAUGAGGUCGAUUCCUGCAGGAGCUGGAAAACCAACAUCUUCAUUUAUCUCUUUUGUUCACAUUUGCAUUAUUCCAAAUGUAUUAACUUGAGUAAAAUAUGGAUUUUUCCUUUCACUUCCUGAUGGCGUUUCAGAUGUUUAGGACCAUCAUCCUCUCAAACUGAGGACCUCCUGGGAAUGGCCAGUGAGCCGUCGGCUCCACUCGGAGUUCCUUUUUCAGAUCAUGAGGGCCGUCUUCUCUCCAGAAAUCUGGAGGGGAGGUGUUGAAGCUGAUUCUGAUUCAGCAGAAGGAACCGAAGGAGGUGCCCAAAUCCAGGCCUUGAGGGACGCCCUCCUGCUGGUUUUACAGAAAUCCUGCCUCUUCUGCUGCUGGUUACCUGGAUCAGGUCACCUAUUAAAGUUCCUGUCGAGCUGAAGUAAGAAAAGAUGCUGUAAGGAUCAUUAAAAGCUUUUCUCCAGCAGGCGAGUAAAAUAAGUCACACUAUAGCUGCUUUCAGGAACAAGAGGCCAUUACCAUUCAGGCACUUAGCAUCUAUGAAACACCACCGCUGAGCCCUUCAAUAACCUUCCCACGCCUUUUUUUUUCUUUUUUUUCUCCCAAGACUGACAGGAUUUUGUUGAUCCCUCUAACAUUUUCUGAACUGCAUCCCUGCAGCGCAUUCAGAGGUCGGAAAAACACACCUUCAUGUAUCAUAAUCCGGAUUUUAGUCAUCUCCUUGUGAAUCAAAGCUCUUGAGACGCGGUUUUACCUUUGGACAUUAUCUCAUUAUUGGAGAAGUGGAGUGAGGUCGCGUUUGAGGUUGAUGUAAAUGGCCUCCCUUGUUCUCAAGAGAAGAAGGUUUUUGUUUUUGUGGAUGUUGAGUUUGAGCUGUUUUCCUUUGUUGUUCUGGGAUCUAGAAAUGUAGGACAGAGAUAAAGGAGCAAACAAGUGAAAACUUCCUUUCCGACUAACAACGUACUAAUGAAGCACCUUUUUGUGUAUUAAAUCUUUAAAAUAAAAAGAAAAAAAA